rnacentral:rRNA from 1 species
CUUUCUUUGCUGGCGACCGGCGCACGGGUGAGUAACACGUAUCCAACCUGCCCUUUACUCGGGGAUAGCCUUUCGAAAGAAAGAUUAAUACCCGAUAGCAUAAUGAUUCCGCAUGGUUUCAUUAUUAAAGGAUUCCGGUAAAGGAUGGGGAUGCGUUCCAUUAGAUAGUAGGCGGGGUAACGGCCCACCUAGUCAACGAUGGAUAGGGGUUCUGAGAGGAAGGUCCCCCACAUUGGAACUGAGACACGGUCCAA